ACCCGUGGUUCCCUGCUUCAGAAACACGAUGUUGGAGUCUACAGAUUUUUAAAAAAUUUUUUUAAAUAUUUAUUUUUGAGACAGAGACAGAGCAUGAGCAGGGGAGGGGCAGAGAGAGAGGGAGACACAGAAUCGGAAGCAGGCUCCAGGCUCCAAGCCAUCAGCACAGAGCCCGAGGCAGGACUUGAACUCACACACCGUGAGAUCAUGACCUGAGCCGAAGUUGGACGCUCAACCAACUGAGCCACCCAGGGUCCCCUGUAGUCUGCAGAUUUUAUGUCCUUCCACUGUCAACACCCACAGUUGCUUCUACGGGUGUUUCCAGCUGAGGAGUCCGCAUUCCUUUCUCGAGAUGCACAGUGUUCGUGCAACACUGUGAUUCUUCUGGAUGUUUUUCCUUCUGGGCAUUUUCCUUCCUCAGUGCACAGCGACCGUUCUUCACACCACUCCCUGCACCCCCUGUGUCGGCCAGCAGCGUGGCAGUGCCGUGGGGUUCAGAAAGGACCAGACUGGAGGCCCGUGCCUGGCACGUAGUCCCACCCUCUCCCCACUUAGCUACUUGGCAAACGUGACCUUGGUGAGACCGCGUUGCCUGCUGGGCGUCUGCGGACUGGAUGCAAUUGAAAUCGAGAUAAAUGGUCAGAGCCUUCACGUACUUUGUUUUUCUCUCAUACGUGUUUAGGCAUCUAUGGACGUGCACACAUAGUAAGUAUUUUAUACGUUGAUACGGUGAAGAUAUAUUCAUUGCUGUUGGUCUCCAGAUUCCUUUUGCAAAAAUGUUUUUUUAUUUUUUUAUUUGAGAGAGAGAGUGUGUGUGAGUAGGGGAGAGGCAGAGAGAGAGAGAGAGAGAGAGAGAGAGAGAGAGAAUCGCAAGCACGCUACCCUCAGUGAGGAGCCUAUCUUGCGACUUGAUCCCAAGACCCUGGGAUCACGACCUGAGCUGAAAUCAAGGGUCAGAUGCUCAACCGACUGAGCCGGCCAGGUGCGCCCCACCAGAUUCCUUUUACAAGCACUUCCCCUCACGUUAGUAGAAGCCGCCCAUUCGUGUUGAAUUCCUUUCCAUUUUGCAGAGAAUCACUGGUGCUUCAGCUCCCGUGCUUGGGGAGCCGGCCCCCACACGGCGGAGUGCUUCCCAUCCUGACCCGUGCACCUGCUGGUUGAGCGCUAAACCUCCCGGGUUUAGCUUCCCGGGUUUAGCCUCCUCUCCUUCCCUCUCUGUCCCAUUGUGAUCCACUGGUGCGUUUCUUGGGCCUAAUUGUGCAAACACCCUAGUUCUGUGGCUCAGGGUCAGAUGCCCAGUGUGACAGCAACAACUAUCCCUUUAAAGCAGCGGCCAAUGAACGGCGGGAGCAGUGUUUCAAAAUAACGUCUUUGAAAAAGUAUUUGGGACGUGAAUAAGCCGGGAUUGUCAUGGAGACUUCCCAUGGCAUAAAAUAGAAGGCAAUCUCUUGCCACAGUCUCCAUGACAACAUUGAGUUCACGUGCUUACAUAUACCUGCAAUUAAAUUCCAUUAAGAAGGAAAGGGCUGCAUCUCAAAGCCACUAGAUUUACCACGACUGCUGUUUAGCUGGAGACCAGAGACCCGAUCUGUUUUGCUAAUGCAUUUUCAAAAGCACUGAGCCUUCGAUAACUACUUUUUCACCCUUCUGGGAGUUUGAGUUGUUAGGACAACUCAGAAUCCUGUCACGAGCCUGGUGAUUUUAGGACAGGAUCAUCCAGACGCUCGAUUCCCCAUUCUUCCCGCCCUGCGGCUUCUGUGCUCACCCACACUGCCACCAGGUGAAGACAGAGAGUGUCGGAGAGCACGCUGUUUCGAGUGAUUCGGGCAAAAUGUGUGGUGCAGAAAAGAUGACAUUUAAAAAAACAUUUUCAGAGAGGGAGAGAGAGAGAGAGAGAGAGAGAGCGAGCACACACAUGCGAGCGGGGGAGGGGUAGAGGGAGAGACAGAAUCCCAAGCAGCCUCCUCACUGUCAGCACACAGCCAGACGCGGGGCUCGAACUCACGAAUUGUAGAUCACGCCCUGAGCUGAAAUCAAGACGCUUGAGCAGCUGAGCCACCCAGGCACCCCCCAGAAAAGACAUUUUCGGCUGAGCUCUUUCCAUGUUUUCUGUGGUGUGCGGUCCCCUGGGCCCGGGGAAAGGCGGUGACCCUCGUGCCCCCUCACGGUCCGCGGCAGGACCAGGCCGGGCAUCUCCACGCGGACAAGCCCGCCGGGAGCUCUGCCGAACUUCUUUCUGAUUUUGCCGAGUCGCUUAUUGUCUGUCUCUUGGGAUUCCUUCUUUUAUGGAAGACCAGAUAGAUCCUCCCUUAGAAGUGGAUGCGGAGGCCUUUAAUUUUAUUCCGCGUGGAAAAUAAAGAAAAUGUUUGUGGCUCCAGACAAGCCCGCUCUCCUCCGAAGAGCCACGACCCCAGGCAACGCUGAUGUCAACUACGCUGCGAACAGCCCCCACGUGACAUAAGCUUCCCUCUCAAGGGGCUGCGUGGGUUACAGACAGAGAACAUAAACGGUUAAUUCUCCUGCGUUUGUGAUAACACUGCAACCUUAACGACCCUCCCUCCGCCAGACACAAACUCAGUAGAAAAUUCUCAGUUCCCGUCAAGCCUGGAUAAGAUAUUCUUUUGCCAGAGUGAAGGACUGUCGACAUAAUUGAAGUGUCCAGGCGGGACCACUGGAGCCCGGGUUUUAAGGAACGUGCUUGGUAUUGUCCUCCUUCGACUCAGAAGUGCCGUGGAGUAGGGCUUGCAGCUGCCACGUUCUCAAAGCCCCUGCAGAGCCGCCUGCGGGACGGGACUGGGCUGCGGGUCCGUCUGCGGUGUGAGCUGCGUCCUCCGUGGCGGUGGAGGCUGUUCCCAGAAUGAUGGCUUCUGUCUGUGAAAAGCUGCAUAUAGACUUUCAGAUCCAGAGCUUUCAAAAGGGUGAGAUGUGGAUUAAUUUUAGGGGAAAGGAAUGGCACGAGAAUGUUUCUUAAGCUCCCGGUGGUUUGAGAAUUCAAGACUGAAACGUGCGGAGACUGUCUGGACCCAGGCAAACUAAGAGAUAAGAAAUUUGUUGUGAACAGGGAGAACACUCGUUUCUGUCACUUCCCCUAUGUUAGUAUUUUUUGCCAGCUUUCAGUAGCAAAAAGCAAUAGAUUUUUUAAAAGGGGCAUCUUUCUCUACUGACAUAAUUCAGCCUAUGAACAAACCAUGCGUUUAAAAGAUUUUUUUUUAGGUUUAUUUAUUUUUGAGAGAGAAAGAGAUGGAGACCCAGUGCAAGUGGUGGAAGGGGCUGAGAGAGAGGGAGACACAGAAUCCGAAGCAGGCUCCAGGCUCCGAGCUGUCAGCACAGAGCCCGACGUGGGGCUCGAACCCACGAACCGUGAGAUCAUGACCUGAGCCGAAGUCGGACGCUUAACCGACUGAGCCACCCAGGCGCCCCCACCUAACAAAGUCUUUUUAAUAAGAAGUAUGAUUAAUACAAAUUCUGCCUUAGAAUGCCCCUCGGAAUGGCUAACCUGGUAAUUAGUCUUUCCAAAGCUUUCUACGUGUCUUCUGAGGUGUGUGUGUGUGUGUGUGUGUGUGUGUGUGUGCGCGCGCGCGCGCGCGCACACGUGCACCCUUGCAAACAGGACAUUUACCUGGAUAAAUGUGUGCUAAUCGGUUCUGCCUCCUGGGGGAAAGAACAUACGGUAUUUGUGGUCUGGAGACCGCAGAAUGCAUGGAAAGGGGUUUGGUUACAACAAAACGGACAGUCAUACAACUACUUUCAUUUGGAAAAGACGUAUCCUUCAAGAUUGUGGUGUAAGGAAGGGACGGGCCGGCCACUGCUGUCCUGUGCCGCCACCUGUCAUGUGUCCCGCCCUGAAUCAGGGCAGGUUCUGUCCAUUUUGUCUUCAGUUUCCUCUUUGUCUUUGAUGCCUUCUUCCCAGGCCCUACAUUUUUAUAGCAGUGCAUUUCCACAGCCACUUCCGUGACGGUGACUUCUAUUGUAUCUGUCACCUAGAAGCUGAUGGUCGGCUGGCACCUUUUCCAUACUGCGGCUUUAGGCCUUCAGAGGAGGGGCCCAUUUAGGUACCUACAGGAAGCUUUAGAAACUCCCAGAAGUCUCACCCAGUGUCCUCACAGGUCUGACCCUGACCUCACUCCGUGCACACAGGUUGCAUGCUCAGCCGUGGCCAAGACCAGGGUCGCGGGGAGGGACAGCCAGAAAGGGCUGCCUGUUCUCGGGAGGUGAGGGUGCUCCGUUUUCCCCAGGAGGGCAAAGCAGACUUUGUUGUUGCCCAGGCAGGCUGUACUCCAAGGUAGCCUGCAGUAGUGUGUACUUGAAGACAGAAAGUCGGCGCACACGUGUGUGCACAAGUGCCAGCACGUGCAAGUGCGUGCACACGCAAGUGUCAGUACGUGUGUGCACAUGCACAAGUGUUGAUGUGUGUGCACGUGUGCAAGCACAAAUGUCCAUGUGUGACAAGUGGCAGUGUGCACGUGUGUGCACAUGUGCACACACAAGUGUCGAUGUGCUUGUGUAUACACACACACGCACAAGUGUUGAUGUGUGUGUACAUGUGUACGCAUAAGCGUUGAUAUGGAUGUGUGCAUGUGCACACGCCCAAGUGUUGGCGUGUGCAUGUGUGUGCAAGGACAACCAUCGAUGUGGGUGUGUGCAUGCACAAGUGUCCGUGUGCGUGCAUGUGUGCAAGCGUCGACGUGUGUGCCACGUGCACAUACACAAGUGUCAAUUGUGUGCGUACAUGUGCACGCACAAGUGCCAUUGUGUGAGUGUGUAUGCGUGUACACGCACAAGUGUUGAUGUGCUUGCAUAUACACGCACACGCACAAGUGUUGAUGUGUGUGUACAUGUGCACGCAUAAGUGUUGAUGUGGAUGUGUGCAUGUGCACACACACGUGUUGGCGUGUGCAAGGACAACCAUCGAUGUGGGUGUGUGCAUACGUGUGUGCAUGCACAAGGGUCCGUGUGCGUGCAUGUGUGCAAGCGUCGACGUGUGUGUGCCACGUGCACAUACACAAGUGUCAAUUGCGUGCGUACAUGUGCACGCACCAGUGCCGAUGUGUGAGUGUGUAUGCGUGUACACGCACAAGUGUUGCUGUGUGUGCACGUGUGCAAGCACAAGCAUCGAGGUGUGUGUGCAGAAGCGUCUGUGCAUGCGGGUGCACGCGUGCACGCACAGGUGUCGGCGUGCAUGUGUGUGGGUGCGCGCGGUGGAGGCGUUCCUCAAGGGACUCAGACCGCGGACAGGGCGGUCCUUGCCUCGUCGAUGUCCGUUUGUUCACCGAGUGCCACCUGAGACAUAAGCGAGCGUGUUUCCCGCCCUCCUCCCGAGUCCCCUCCUGGUGUGAGGGCGCUCCGGCCUUGGCAGGAGGGCUGGGGGAGGGGUCUCCGGCCGACCCCUGCCGGGAGUCCGACAGCCUGGAACAGCCGACUCGUUGCUCGUGAAGCACGUGGUGUUGACGGCUGGCAGGACUCAGCGGAGCGGGCUCGCGCGCCUGGGCUCGGAGACAUGGACGGCCUCCAGGCGCUGCUUCUCCGCUCUCUCCUGUCGCCUGGGAGCCCGCCAGGUUCAGGUUUAUCUCCGCCAGAGCCUCGCGCCUCACGGCCCGCCCGCCGCAGCGCUUGGGCGGAGGACGUGGGUGCUCCCGCCCCCCGCUGGGGCCUGUGCCGCUGGCGGGCAGGGGCGAGGCGGAGGCCGGAGCCUGCAGGGGGGGCUGGAGGGAUGGCUGGGUCGCCCUGCGGGACCGGUCCCCCGGGCUUGGGGCAGAGAGGACGAUGAUCAGGCUGCCGCACAGGAAACUGCAGAAACUGUUUCUCAGGAAGGUAAGUGGGCGGGGGGACCUCGCCCUCGGCUGGGAAUCCCGGGGGAGGUCGCCACGGUUUUAAUUUGCUGCCGGGAAAUCACUGCUGUCCUAGAUGUUGGGCAGCGAGCCCCAAGCUCCAAGCUGUUCCGUGGGGCAGAGUGAGAUUCCGCGCCUCGCGCCGCGCGCCGCGCCGGUGUCGCAGGUCACGGGGGACACCGAGAGCAGGUCGGCAGCUCCAUUCGGACUGUUGCCGUUUUCACUUGCCUGGCUUUCGAGGGGGUGUUAGAGCCCGAACGGAUGCACUGUUGGCGUCCCCGGAUGUAUUUUCACCAUCACAGAGGCUGCGUCGCUCAGUCGUCCUGCGAUGUCAGAAGCAAAGGAACGGAACGUGUCGAAGUUGACCUUUACUGAAACCCUUGCUGAAAAGGCAAAGUCGUAGGAGAGAAUCGGAUUUAGCAGUUUGCCUUUAAAUUCUUUUUUUUUCGUUUUUAAAAAACAGCUCUACUGUUGUAAAACUCACGUAACAUAAAAUUUGACCAUUUAAAUCGUUUUCCGGCAUCCCGUGCGGUGGCAUUAUGCGCGUUCGCUUUGCAGUGCAGCCGUCAUCACUAUGUGUCCAGAGCACUCGCGCCUUCCCAAGCUGAGACUCGGCCCGUGACACACGCCCUCCCCACUUCUCCCGCCCCCCGCGUCCCCGCUUGUAGGUGAGAUAACUCUAAUACGUACAGUCCUGUGCGCUGUGUCAGGUUACAAAAAGCCGGCUCAGGCAGACUGACUGUAGGCUGUCUGUUGGAUUUGUUAGGGAAGUUACUUUGAAUUGUUAUCUCUUUUUUAAAAAUGUUUAUUGAGUUUUGGGAAAGAGAGAACGUGAGUGAGGGAGGGGCAGAGAGAGAGGGAGACAGAGAAUCCCAAGCCGGCUCCACGCUGUCUGUGCAGAGCCCAAAGUGAGGCUCGAACCCACAAACCUUGAGACAGCACAGAGCCCCACGCGGGGCUUGAACCUGGGAACCGCGAGAUCGUGACCUGAGCUGAAGUCAGAUGCUUAACUGACGGGGCCACCCAGGUGCCCGUAUUGAAUCUCUUUAAAAAAAAAUUUUUUUUUAACGUUUAUUUAUUUUUGAGACAGAGAGAGACAGGGCAUGAACGGGGGAGGGUCAGAGAGAGAGGGAGACACAGAAUCUGAAACAGGCUCCAGGCUCUGAGCGGUCAGCACAGAGCCCGACGCGGGGCUCGAACUCACAUGCCGCGAGAUCAUGACCUGAGCCGAAGUCGGACGCCUAGCCGACUGAGCCACCCAGGCGCCCCUCUCUUUUAAAAGAGAAUUAUGAGCUACAGGUUUGUUUGUUCGUUUUUUUAAAUCACCAGCACACCAACAUAAGUAUGGGAUUUGUGAGUCUCAAUACUUUUUGAAGAAAAUCUGUUUUCUUUAACUUCGUAUAGCUUUUUUUACGUUGGACAAAAUGUGUCUGUGCUUGCUAUAUGUAGAUUUGGGGUUAAUAAGUUUACUUGUAGAUCUUUAUACAUGGAAAUAUUUUUUAAAGAUAAAUUUAUGUUUCACUUGACAACCACUCCUAAAAUACUGUUUUUAGUAAUUUUAUAAGGUGAGCGAAAGCUGUUUCCUUCUGCUUUGGCGGUUAAGAAAACUGAGGUGUUAAGCUCGCAAGGGGCGUGCUCACGCUGUAGGAACAUAUGGACAGACCUAAAGGUAGAAUUUGUGCCCCUGGGGGGGCGCCUGAGUGGCUCAGGCAGUUAAGCGCCAGACUCCUGAUUUCGGCUCAGGUCAUGAUCUCGCGGUUCGUGAGAUCGAGCCCCGUGUUGGACUCUGCCCGGACAGAGCGGAGCCUGCUUGGGAUCCUCUCUCUCCCUCUCUUGCUGUCCCUCCCGGACUGGUGCUGUCUCUGUCUUUCUCAAGAUAAAUAAAUAAACUUAAAAAACUGUUUCCAAACAUAAGAUUAAAAAAUAAGUAAGUGCGUGAGGUGAAGGACUUAAGGUAGAAAAAUGAAUCUGAAGUGAGGCGUGAGGUUGGUCCCCUAAUUGAAGUCACGAGGGACAGCGUGCUUGCAGAUGGCACGCCGUGGCCUUGAUUCUGAGAUUGCUGGUUCCUCGAGCAGCAGAACACAUGGGGUCUGAGCCACAAGAAACAAACAAAAAGCCUAAAACCGGUUGUUCAGGUGAACACGUCUUUUUGUCCCUGAGCCCAGAGAGAGACAUCCCCCCCUGCCCCCACCCAGGCCUUCCUAGCAAGCCCACCGUGUGAAAAGCAGUGAACGGUAUCCCCAACAGUGGCCUUCUGUUAAGUACAGGGCGUUUCUCAGUGAUGUUUUCGGUGACGCCCCGAGUCGUAGGCUGGGGGGUAAGACCACCGUACAAAGCGGAAGUCAGCCCUGUGCGGUCUGGGCGAACCGCUCUCUGAAGGUCUGAUUUCACGCAGGGACACGGGAAGCCACCUGGAAGUACGCGUGGAUGCGUCUCUGUAACUUUGGGGACGGAUCGGUACAUUUUGUUAGAAUCCAGUGGCCCCGAGUUUGGGGUCCUUGGCAAGUACAGGAAUGCGCAUUUUUCGGUGCUGCAGGUGAUGAGGAGGGGCUCAUACCAUUUGGGCACCGGAAAGGGUCUUAGAAACCACACCGCCCACGACUCCAUUUUCUAGACAAGGAGACUGAGGGUCCGAGAAGUUGAAAUGCGCCAGGUCACCCAGAGAGGGAGGGGCAGAGCUGGGGCCCUUCUGAGCUCUUCCCUUUAUACCGCGAUGGGCACACAUGUCAGGGGUCAGCACCGCCUCCAGAGAACCGCGAAGGUGACCCCUACCCGCCUCUCUUAACCAUUCUUCAUCUUCACAGUGUCUUCAUUUGACACUUUGACCUGUGGGGGGGCUCACCCUGGGGGGGCUGCUCCUCCCAGGGUGAGCCGGUUUCUGGAGACAGUGAACAACUCACUCGGAGAGCACCUUUCAUGGGGAAGCAACCCAUCCAGAGCCACGCCCAACCCUGCCCUGUGGGGCUCUCGUGCUCUGGGCCACUGGCCCCCCACCCGGUCACCCCAGGGCAGGUCCUGACAGCUAGCCCCCCACCCUGUCACCCCAGGGCAGGUCCUGACAGCUAGCCCCCCACCCGGUCACCCCAGGGCAGGUCCUGGCAACUAGCCCCCCACCCUGUCACCCCAGGGCAGGUCCUGACAGCUAGCCCCCCACCCUGUCACCCCAGGGCAGGUCCUGACAGCUAGCCCCCCACCCUGUCACCCCAGGGCCGACUGAGCCACCCUGGGGGCCAAAGACAAGCGUUUUUAAAAGCAGUUCACAUGGAGGGUUAUUUAAAAGGCCAUUAAUGCAAGACAUUUACUACGUGGUUAUGAAAACGUGGUUGCUGGAAAAUAAUGACCCACGUCAAGGAAAGAGGAGGAGAGAGGGUUGCAGAAAGUAUAAUUCACUAAUCGUUUGCCCAUUUAUUGAUUCUCUUCCCAUUUUAUCAAUGAAAAAUUCUGUUCGAAGGAAAUUGAUGAUAGUGAAGCCUCACAGAAAUUGAGCAGCGGGUUAAAAAUGCAAGCAGCUGGAAUCUGAGGAAAGAACACACACGUAGUUCUUCGGAUGGCCCGGCCUGGUGUCCCUGUGCGACUCCUAAGGACAUCCUGUGGCUCUUAAAACCCCCUGACCUUCUCGGAUCUGUGAAGGCACAGACCUGUCCUUCAUUUCUCUGCUUCUAGUAAAAUAUUCACCCCCAGCGGCACACGUUUGUUUCUGGUGAUGGUGCGUGUGAUUAGUGACGUAUUUUAAGAAUGGGCAGAAACUGUUGGAUCCAGUUUCUGUCGUGAAGGUUGUGAAUGUAAAGAAAAUACUGAGACGGCAUCCAGUUAAUAUUCAAGGCUGCUUACGUGGGACAGUACAGCGGCGAUUUUAAGUGUGUUAUUGGGUCUUUACGGAGAUUGGUUUUCUGGGGUUGUGACUGAAAUUUUCUUUGCAAGAGGCUUAUUUGGAAGGGAAGCCAGGAAAGUAUGGCUGCAUCUCUCUGUUCUACCCAAGGAUGACGGUUCAUCUGUUCUAUAAAUACCUGUGGAGCGUCUGCUCCAGGCUGGGUCCUGGGGGUGCAGCUGUGAACCAGGUAGAUGGGCCUGCCCUCUCCGGCUCACGGUCCGGCAGGACAGCCAGCCCUCUGCCCUUGGUGACCCACGGGCUGCAACAGGGACAGCACGGCCCCGGGGAGAGGAGCUUGUAACAACGCCACCUACAAGGGAAAUGGCACCUGUGUCUGCCUUCUGUGGUGACCUCACCCACAGCACGAGCUGCUCACGGUGAACAGGCUGCCCCCCGCCUCCCCUCCCCCCCCCCGACGUGUCACAGGAGGUAGGUACAGUCAGGGCUGAAGGUGUCGGGCUCCCAGCAGAAUGCAUAAGACUCGCUGCAAGGGCUGGGGACAGGGCCGUGGUGACCACGUAGGUAAAACCUCGCCAGGAGCGUCCAACCUCCUGGUCCAGGGACCGGCUCCUUACGGUUUUACUAUCUAAUGCAUAGUGUAAACCCUCUUUCUCUCUCAAGAUUUCUUUCAGUUUAUUCUAAAUUAUCCCUCGAAACUAACACGUGUCCCCAGUUCUAGAAUCUGAAGCUUUGUAACGAGUCCGCGCUCUGGAUUUCCUCACAACCGCCGUGGGCUGAGCUCAGGCUUCUCUCGAGCCCGUCCUUUCUGUGUGACGUUCCCACCAGGUUAGCCUGGCCUCGCGGCCCCUUCUGGAGGAUGAGGCCGGAAUGAAUUACACUUAUUAGACACAGGUAUUUAAAAUAAUAGACACUGGUUUUACAUAAUUUCGCAUAAGUACACGCGAGCCGUGGAUGCAUUUUUAGAGCAAGAUUUUUUAAAAUAUCAAACUGAGGUAUACAGAGUAAGCCCCCUUUUGAUCAGACAGGAAGUGAUAAAUCAGUCUUCACGGAUCCAGCCUGGUUAGGCCUCUCUGUGCUUCAGGAUCUUUUUCUCACGGGAAGACUGGCUUCUGCUUUUCAGGAUUUUCUUUGCCCCACAGCCUUUGACUGUGAACAGUCAGGAAGAAUAUUCUGUUUGUUCUGUGGGUUUCCAGGAGUCUGUGCAUCUUUUUGGCUUUGCGUCAGAUCCCCGAUUGCCUAAGCGUUAGAAUCCGCUGGUGAUGCAAAGUCCAAUCCAACUGGCUUGAACCAAAAAAAAAACAAGAAAAGGAAAUUUGUGGGGCUCGCAAACUGGAAACUCGAGAACACCGUGAUUGUGAGCUCAGACACACACGCUUCCGUCCAGGCUCCUUCCCGGGCCCUGAGUGGUGGCCCCAAUCCUGUUUCGGGUCACCACACACCCAGUCCGGCAGGAGAGAGGGUCCUUGCCCCCACCUGCCCUGUCGUCUGUCUGUGUCCCCGGGGGCGGGUUGGGGUGGAUGGAUUCUCCCUGUAGACAGGCACGUGUCAGGCAGGCCUGUACCGUCUGCAGCCCCCCCACCCCCACCCUGCUGAGGGUUCCAGCAGCUGCUCAGCCGUUUCUGGGGCAGGACAGACUGCCCCCCGAACCUGCAGAAAUCCUCCCUGUGACCAGCGUGUGGAUGCGGGAGGGGGGGUGCGGGGUCCCCGUGCGGUUCCCGUCCCUGGAAUUCAUCGCGUGCCUUGGCCUGCCAGGCCCUCCCGAAUCACCAGAAGGUGCCGGUCUUCCCACACCCCCUGGAGAACAAACAGGCAGCUUGAAGUCACAUCUGUCGGGUUUCCAGGAAACAGCACGGGGCUAGCAAACCCCGCUGAGUGGCAGAAAUAAUGCUGUGAUGUGUCGUCUCUCUGCUGUGGCCUCACUGACCUGGAAAGGCUGCCGGGCCCGGUGGCUACAGGGGCACAGGUGAAAGGGGUGUGCCCUGUGACUUGCUGGGCUGUGGGGCACAGGGCAGGGCCGCCCUCACCGAAGGACGUGUCACACGGGGAGUGCGGCCGGCUGGGGCUUCACCUCCUUUUAGGCAAAUGGAGUCUGUCCCUUGCAGAGCUGGGCCUUUCUCUGUGUGAUCGUGUGCCACACGGCGGGAGGGCGACCUCAGCCCUCGGGAAGGUCCCUCCGCUUCCAAGGGGACAGCUUGGGUUUAUGGAAUUUCCAGCUUCGGGUGCUUUUUGCACCGAGUCACAACCCAAGUCACAGGGCGGCUGGACACGGGCCACAUCGCCCUGCUUCCUGAGGGCCAGGGGUCAGGCUCUCCCGGCAAGGCGCUGGUGGGCGACGCUGUUCUUUAUGCCCGAGGGACGCACCCGGUGGCUGUCCUCGGGCACUGACUGGCCAGGUCUCUGGGGAGAUGACCGUGUGCUCCUGGGGACAACGGCGGGACGGAGAAGAGAGGCAGCAGGAGGACAUGCCGGGGGGGUAGGGCCCUGGUGAAGCAGAAGGAAGGCGCUGGGUGUCUGGGGAAGAGGAAGGAAGGGCCUGUGUGGGGCUCGGGCAGGGGGUCGCGGGUGUGUGUGUGUGUGUGCGCGCGUGUGCGCACGUGGGGGAGGGGGACAUGGGGCCUCGGAGUCCACGAUGAGGGCUCGGUGAGUCCCAGGCCGCAUUAACCUGCCAGGAAACAGGCUGCAGAGGAGUCGGGGCAGGCAGGCGGCCGGCUGGAGGCCUGUGUGCCCAGCGCACAGAUGUCACAGGAGCCUGGGAAAGUCGGGGUAGGUGGAACCAGCAUCCGUAGGGCAAGAGAGCCGGGGAGGGGAUGCCCUGUGCCCCAGCACCUCUGAUGGCGCCGGGCGGGUCCCCCUGCUCUGCCCCAGCCCCCCGUGCUGCUUUCGACUGCACCUGCACCUCUUCCCCCCGCCUGUUCCUUCCACGAACGUUCCACCUGCCCCAGCUGCCUUUACCUGCACAGGUAGCAGGUGGGAGGCCAGAGCUGCCGGGAGCACAGAGCGGGAGGAGGCUCGCGGCAGGUCGGGCAGCAGCUGGGAGUCCGCAGGCACCAGCCGCAUGGCCGGGUGCUUUGUCCGUCACCUUCUCGGGCAGAGGUCCCUGCCCCCUGGUGUCAUGCAUGCAAGGGGCCUGGCACUUUCUGGCAGAAAUGCUGUGGGAAUGUAAGCCAUCGUUAGCCUUUUCUGUGCUUGGGACGGGGCCAGUACCAAGGGCGUAGGGGUGACACAGCGGGAAAGCUUGAAGGCCAGCCGGGCUCGCUCGCGGGACCGGAGGCCUUACUGCUGAGGCUUCCUUCACGGGGCAUCACUGUCCACGUAGCUUUUCAUCUGCGUCUGCGUUAGGUCAGGGCUCCUGCCCUGCCCACCCGGGCCUCGCUCUCCCCUGGACGGAAAGCCGUGUGUCCGGUUCCCUGCCUGUCUCUAAGGACAGUUCCCGCGCCGAUGAGCGUCCACAGGUCACGGCAGCCCCCGACGUUUCAUCCGCCUCUGCCUUUUCCCAUCGGCCACACUCCGGAGGUCCCUGCGUCAGGCACCGGGGCUCCCUCUUGCUUGGGGGGCGGGCUGUCUUCAAGGUCGCCCCGCGGAGGCAGGGCUGUUCCGCCCUUGGCGCGAUCACUUGUGCUUGAAGCAAAGGAUCCCGGCGAGGUGGGACCCUAAGCUCAGAGGCAGCGCGAGCUCGCCCCAGGGUGUGCCCGCUGGCACGUCUCCGUGCACAGGUAUGUCACUUCGAGAGAUGGUUUGCUGAGUGUAAGCGCGCCCAGGGUCCCGGGGACGGGUGUCAGCAGGAGCUGUUGUAGGGCGUCCUCAGCGGGCGCAGGCAUGAACCCGACGGCCCCCGACCUCGUGGGACUGCGGUGGAGUGCUCAGAACGGCCCUGGAUCAGGCAGCGUCCCGGCUGUGGGUACCCCAGACCUAAACGGGGCUUGGGCUCGGAGGGCCAGUUUGCGUGUGGUCGCACAAACGGCAGGUCCCCGAACUCUGAGGAGAGCCCCCGCCCAGACCGAGGACCCUCGUGUCCUGCGGCCACCCCUCCUGCCGUCCCGCUCAUGUUCGGAGCUAUGUGUGCUCGGAGAUCACUGGGCUCCUUGCCAGAACGACCAUCUACAGAAAGUUGUAGGGCCAGAGUCAGCAGGGCAGGAAGAGGGAGCACCAAUGGCCACGGCAUGGACACUCUAGAGGCCGAGGCAGACCGCCAGCUGUGGCUCGAGGGGCUCAGGGCUGGCGGGAAUGCGCCGUGCCAGGUUGAGUUCUGCACCUCCCGGGCAGUCCCGGCGGUGCCUUCAACGUGCCCUUUGACCUGGCGGCUGUCUUCAAAUUAGUUUCUCUUUCCUGAGCCACGGGCUGUCGGAAGACGAGGGAUAACUCCGCGACUGAAACAGCGACACGCGGCAGUGUUUCUGGCUGGUCUGAAGUCGCCUGGGCGUGGGCUACAGGCUGUGGGGCUGCGGCGGACACAGUGUCACCCCCAGAGCUGCAGACGUGUGUCCCAUGUUCCUGCUGGGGUGCUGCCCUUGUCCCCCCUACUCUCUGAACGAACGCUGGGUAGAACCAGCGUUUGGAUCCAGUCCUCGUGUCCCCAAAAUUCACAUGUCCGAGUCCAACCCCCAGGACCUCAAAGAGUGACUGUAUUUGGAGACAGGUUUUUACUUUUUACUCUUUAAAAAAAAUUUUUUUUUAAUGUUUGUUUAUUUUUGAGGGGGGAGGAGAGGCAGAGAGAGAGACACACAGAAUCCGAAGCAGGAUCCAGGCUCUGAGCUGUCGGCAUAGGACCCGACGUGGGGCUCGAACUCACAGACUGUGAGAUCAUGACCUGAGCCGAAGCCGGAGGCUCAACCGACUGAGCCACCCAGGUUCCCCAAUUUUUUACUCUUUUAAGUUUAUUUAUUUAUUUUGAAGAGAGCAAGGGAGUGCCUACAAGCAGGGGAGGGGCAGAGAGAGAAGGAGAGAGAGAAUCCCAAGCAGGCUCUGCACUGUCAGGACAGAGCCUGAUGUGGGGUUCAAUCCCGGGAACUGUGAGAUCACGACUGAAGCUGAAAUCAAGAGUCGGACCCUUAAUCGACUGAGCUACUCAGGUGCCUCUGGAGACAGGGCCUUUAAAAAGGGGAUUAGAUGGGGGGGCGCCUGGGUGGCUCAGUGGGUUGAGCGUCCGACUUCGGCUCAGGCCGUGAUCUCACAGUUCAUGGAUUUGAGCCUCACGUCAGUCUCGUGCUGACAGCUCGGAGCCUGGAGCCUGCUUCGGAAUCUGUGUCUCCCUCUCUCUCUGCCUUUCCCCUCCUUGUGCUCUGUCUCUCUC